ACCUUUAAAUCAAUAUCAAAUUUGUGUGCAGCUACUCUAAUAAUGUCUUUCCACAGGUUAUAUUCGAGGUCUUAUUCUCUUUGAUCCAUGGCUACUCCACUUCUCAUCUCUCUGCACCUCCUUUCAUCUUGUUUCUUAAACCCAACUCCAAGAUUUUUAUAUUACUCCAAUUUCUCCACAUCAAAACCCGAAUUUAGUAGCCAUCACCACAAAGUAAACAAAUGCUUUUGGACAAGUGUUCACUGCUCGUCUAAUCUCAUCAUCAACCCUCCCGUUCUCUUCCUAAGUAACGGCUUCGAUGGUGGUGGAUUCGUCGAUACAUAAACAUUCAUUGUUACUAUCAGUUUCAUCGUUGCCAUUGCCCUGUCUCUCUUCUUCGACUUCAAGGUGAAAUCAGAAGCAAAACCCAUAUCAUAGUUUCUCACUAAAUCAUUCUCUUUGUGAAAAUUUUGGUUUUUUUUUAUUCUUGCAGGAAGCCCAGUCCUUGUGAAAGAUAUGGUGAAAAUUGUGAAUCUCUAUCUCUUUAUAUUCUUCAGGAAAUUGCAGUUUUCUUGCAAUUUAAUUUGUAGAUGAUUGGACUUUAGUCACUUAAGAUGAUAAUAAUCAUAAUUUAUGAAGUCUUGGUUUAGUUACCAACUGAUGAUUCUUUAUUUCCUUGGAUUAGAAACAACUAGUAGAUGACACCUGAUAACACCGUAUUUUGACCACUUUUAUGGAUCAUAAUUAUGUCUUAUGCAGGUGUUUUAAUUCUGUUUUCAAUGGUUUUUAAAGUGUUUUCAAUGUUUUAGAGUUUCAAAAGACUUUACAGGAAACUUGGACAAAAGAUAUGCAAUUUAGAACAAAUACGCAAUUUUGGAUAAAUGCAGACCGUCAGAAGUAUGACAAGCGAUGAAGACUUUCUCACCAUCUGAUCACCCCCAAAAAUUUGAGACAACAUAGAGGAUCCAACCAGCUUUCUAAUGCAUUUGGUUUGGAGACAAUCCAACGGUUAGAUCUUCAGAUACUCCCGAUGCAAGAAUGACAGAAAAUGUAGUUCCAGAAGAGAGCCAUGUGCCGAGACCGCGGCCAACACCUGUUUUCCCGCGGGUAGAGCCACCGCGACCGCGGAUAUUGGUCGUUCACUUUCCAGACGACUUAAUUAAAGCCCAGAUCAAUUCCUUUCGUUAUUUUUGAAGCCCUAAGUGUCCAGAACCACCCCAGAAGCUAUAAAUACCCCCUUUAGGUCAUUCCUAAAGGUGUGUAGACGACAUAAGAUAGAAAGAGAGAGAGAGUUCGUGUGAGAAGCCCUAGGAGCCGCCGCCUUUGAAGGAGGAGCCGUCGAGGAGAGAGCAUCAUCGCGCCUCCAUCUGCGACUCUGUUCUUCGUUUUUCUUCCCUCUUUUCUUUAAUUUUCUACAACUUUCAAUACUCUGUGAUGAUUGUUUACAAUAUGUUUGAGUAGUUACCCAGUUGAGUUUAAAGGGAUUGUUCAAAGG
rnacentral:lncRNA from 1 species